ACUCAGUGAAAUUGAACUCGCUGUGAAGAUGCAGUGUACCCGCGGCAAGACGGAAAGACCCCGUGAACCUUUACUAUAGCUUGACACUGAACAUUGAGCCUUGAUGUGUAGGAUAGGUGGGAGGCUUAGAAGUGUGGACGCCAGUCUGCAUGGAGCCGACCUUGAAAUACCACCCUUUAAUGUUUGAUGUUCUAACGUGGACCCGUGAUCCGGGUUGCGGACAGUGUCUGGUGGGUAGUUUGACUGGGGCGGUCUCCUCCUAAAGAGUAACGGAGGAGCACGAAGGUUGGCUAAUCCUGGUCGGACAUCAGGAGGUUAGUGCAAUGGCAUAAGC
rnacentral:rRNA from 1 species